rnacentral:rRNA from 1 species
AUUGAACGCUGGCGGCAUGCCUUACACAUGCAAGUCGAACGGCAGCACGGGAGCAAUCCUGGUGGCGAGUGGCGAACGGGUGAGUAAUAUAUCGGAACGUGCCCAGUCGUGGGGAUAACGUAGCGAAAGCUACGCUAAUACCGCAUACGAUCUAUGGAUGAAAGCGGGGGAUCGCAAGACCUCGCGCGAUUGGAGCGGCCGAUAUCAGAUUAGGUAGUUGGUGAGGUAAAGGCUCACCAAGCCGACGAUCUGUAGCUGGUCUGAGAGGACGACCAGCCACACUGGGACUGAGACACGGCCCAGACUCCUACGGGAGGCAGCAGUGGGAAUUUUGGACAAUGGGCGCAAGCCUGAUCCAGCAAUGCCGCGUGCAGGAUGAAGGCCUCGGUUGUAAC